ACGGAGGGUGCAAGCGUUGUCCGGAUUUAUUGGGUUUAAAGGGUGCGUAGGCGGAUUGUUAAGUCAGUGGUGAAAGUCUACGGCUCAACCGUAGAAGUGCCAUUGAUACUGGCAGUCUUGAGUACAGUAGAGGUAGGCGGAAUUUAUGGUGUAGCGGUGAAAUGCAUAGAUACCAUAAAGAACACCUAUAGCGAAGGCAGCUUACUAUGCUGUAACUGACGCUGAGGCACGAAAGCGUGGGGAGCGAACAGG
rnacentral:rRNA from 1 species